GAUGAACGCUGGCGGCGUGCCUAAUACAUGCAAGUCGAGCGAACAGAUGAGGAGCUUGCUCCUCUGACGUUAGCGGCGGACGGGUGAGUAACACGUGGAUAACCUACCUAUAAGACUGGGAUAACUUCGGGAAACCGGAGCUAAUACCGGAUAAUAUAUUGAACCGCAUGGUUCAAUAGUGAAAGACGGCUUUGCUGUCACUUAUAGAUGGAUCCGCGCCGCAUUAGCUAGUUGGUAAGGUAACGGCUUACCAAGGCAACGAUGCGUAGCUGACCUGAGAGGAUGAUCAGCCACACUGGAACUGAGACACGGUCCAGACUCCUACGGGAGGCAGCAGUAGGGAAUCUUCCGCAAUGGGCGAAAGCCUGACGGAGCAAUGCCGCGUGAGUGAAGAAGGUCUUCGGAUCGUAAAACUCUUUUAUUAGGGAAGAACAAAAGUGUAAGUAACUAUGCACGUCUUGACGGUACCUAAACAGUAAGCCACGGCUAACUUCGUG
rnacentral:rRNA from 1 species